rnacentral:rRNA from 1 species
AGAGUUUGAUCAUGGCUCAGAACGAACGCUGGCGGCAGGCCUAAUACAUGCAAGUCGAACGCUCCAGCAAUGGAGAGUGGCAGACGGGUGAGUAACACGUGGGAACCUUCCCUUUGGUUCGGAAUAGCCCAGGGAAACUUGGGGUAAUACCGGAUAAGCCCUUACGGGGAAAGAUUUAUCGCCGAAGGAUGGGCCCGCGUCGGAUUAGCUAGUUGGUGGGGUAACGGCCUACCAAGGCGACGAUCCGUAGCUGGUCUGAGAGGAUGAUCAGCCACACUGGGUCUGAGACACGGCCCAGACUCCUACGGGAGGCAGCAGUAGGGAAUAUUGGACAAUGGGCGCAAGCCUGAUCCAGCCAUGCCGCGUGAGUGACGAAGGCCUUCGGGUUGUAAAGCUCUUUUGGCGGGGACGAUAAUGACGGUACCCGCAGAAUAAGCUCCGGCUAACUUCGUGCCAGCCGCCGCGGUAAUAC